rnacentral:lncRNA from 1 species
CGUCUCUAUGCAACAGGACUAUGCAUGAUUUUCAUUUCCUGCCUUAUACUUUUUUGUGCUUCCAUAAUUUUCUACAACAAAUGUGCAUUACUUUUAUCAUCAGAAAAGAAUGCUUUCUUUGAGAUCUACAUCCCCUGAAUGGUGACAGUGCUACGCUUUGCACCUCUGCUCAUCUCCAUGUACCUAAAUGACAGGAGAAGAGAUGAAAGACGGAGCAGGACGCAGCCCCCUGUGUGAACUGGGCAGCUAAACAGCAGCCCCAAGGCUGAGGGAGAGGAGACGGUCAGGCCUCGGGCCAUUGAUAGCCCAUGUCGCACCAUUGUGCACAUCCGAGAAAGCGCCCAUCUGGGAAAAUGCAGCCCGUGAGCACACAGCUUGUUGAGCAGACAUGCCUUGGGGUGAUUUAGAAAAAGGUGCCCUCAUCUCUGGAUAGAGACAGCCCCGAUCCAAGACGCACAGCGUGGCCAGCAGAGCUGGGCUGGAUUUCAGCCCCACUCACCUCCUCAGUCACAUACCCUUGUUCUUGUUCUGUGGGUCCUUACCCACUUCUGAGAGCUCUCCAGCUGGAAAGGCUCAGAUGCUGAAUGCGAGGGACAGGUAGGCAAAACCCCAGCUUCUGGGCAUUGCAAGCUCACACACCACCUUCCCACCGCUCAUCUUCCCACUCCUGCUCUGCCUCAUGGGCAGGUGUUAGAAAUGCCACCACUUCAUAGCGACUGCCCCGAGGCCAAAGACCAAGGAAGGAGAGGACCAAGGCCUUCAAGACUGGUCUCUUGACUCCUGCUCCAGUGUUCUCUCCAUUCUGAACUGGCCUCAUUUUUGAGACCCUCCUGACUUCCCACAUCCUGUGCCUCCCCAUCCAUCCACCAGCCAUCUCAGGCUUCAUGGCACAGCUGCAUCUCUAUCUGCAGGGCUUCUGGACUCCACCCCGGCCCCACCUUCCUCUCCUACUUCUCACCUCCUCCAUCCAGAGGACAAGUCACCAGCCGUUCAGAGAGGGGGCCCGGCAUUUCCUGGGUUCUUCCUCUGCUCCUGGUGCAGGUGAGGCCUCCACACGUGUUCCCUCAGGGUCAUCCUCAGCGGGCAUUAUUUCCCCAGACCUGCCAGUGAGAAACCUGAGACUCGGUGAAGGCCAGGAGCUGUCGGAAUCCAUGUGGCCACUAAGGGAGGGACAGGGCUGGGACUGGAACCUCCUCUGUGUGAGUCCACGGUGCCUCUUCAUGUUUGUUCACAGGGAGAAAAGGAAGAGAAAGACGGCUGUGUGUGAGAAAACCCACACAUUUCCUUUUCUUUGUUAAUAACAUGUAAUAAUCCAAAAGCAAGCCUGGUGGGUGGAAAAUCCCUGCUGGCUGUGUUUCCAGGGCCUGGGAGCAUCGAGCGCCUGGCCGGACCCACAGGGCACGGCGCCUGAGGCCGGUCCGCCUCACCGGAGAGGAGCUGCCUCGCAGACCCCGCCAGGCCAGGUCCGCUGCCCUGGACUCUCAGGGACGGCAGAUAGAAAGGUCACCUCAACAGAGGGUGGCUCUUGGGACACAGAGCAGCCUGGGUGUGACCGGGCCACUCGCCUGGCUGCUCUGGCCUUGCCCUGGUCAUGGAAGAGCUUCCCCACCUGCUGGGCCACAGACCCAGCGGCCGAGGCGCCCAAGGCCGGCUGAAGAGAGGGCAGGGAGGCCGCAGGCAGGUUGGCACUAGGAGGGGCUCCACGCAGAACAGAGAGCCUCCCGUCUCAGGCAAUGGAAAACACUAGCAUGGAGAGGAGACUCAGCUACCACUAGUACAGCCUUAGAGAUGACUUCCCCAAGGGUGCCGCCAUCUUAACUUCCCAGCAUGCACUGGGCUCCGGAAACGCCUGCUCAGGGCCGCCUGGUUUACGCGGGAAGGACAAAGAAGCUGGGAGAGGAGGAGAAAAAAGGGGAUUUUUUUAACUACCUACCACGUGAGGUGUUUUUGUUUACCCUAUCUUGUUUACCUGCCACAAGCUUGGGAAGCUGGCGUUACCGUUCUUCCCAUUUUCUAGAAGAGGAAACUGCAACUCUGAGGCAGGAAGUGGCUUGCGGGGUCACAGGGCCGUAAGAACUGGGUUUAAAUACAGGUCUCUAGGGGGCUUGCUCCCUUUUCCCUUCCCAACCCAGUCCGAAGGGAGGUUUCCGCAUUCUUUCCCGGAUGAUUUGCUACCCUGUCCUCCCCUGCCCGUCGCAGCGCCCUGCAGGCCCCCUCCUGCUUCCUGUCUAGGGCCCACGGCAGAAGAGACCCACAGCAGCACCCGCUCCAGGGACUCAGCUUACAGGCUGCCAGGCUCAGGAGAAAGGCAUCGGCAAUUGCUUCGAGCCAAGCAUUAAUAACGCAUUUGACAAUUGAGGAAAUGAGGCCGGAGCCAGUCAGGCUGUGCUGCUCCCGGUGAAGGACCAACCCCUGCAGCGUCCUGUGCUCUCAGCCUCGCAGUACCCAGCAUGCCACACACACCUGGGAUGGCCAUUGGCUCUGACCCCUUGUGUGUUCUCAGGCCUUCGAGAUUUUGAAAGGCAAGUUCAAGAACGUUUUUUAGGAGACUGUUGGCUGCCAAUUGCAAUGAUUUUGUGUGUCCGAGGACUUGGUAAGGGCAGCUAAAGAGAUGUGAAGCUUAUAUGAUGAAAUCUGACUUGCUAAAGGAAUGCAAAACCCUUCCACGUGAUUCACCCUUGCACGCCCGCUCUUGGCCAGCUGUGAAGGGCGCUAUGGCAGCAUCAGAGCUCGGUGACCUCCUCCCUUAAUGUCACAGUGAAGCCAGCACUCUGCUCUCCAGGGAAAGCAGUGAGCCCUCCAUGAGCCAGGUACCGGCUGGAUUACAGCAGUGUUGCGGUACAUCCCACAACAACUCUGUGAUGUGGGAACUAUUAUUAUUCCCUUUUUACAAAGGAAGAAACUGAGGCAGAGAGAGAGGCCAAGGAGGUAGGCAGGAUUGCCCUGGCAGUCAGAGGCUAUGAACUUGAUGCCUGCACCACAUGCCUCCCAUGCCCUUAGAGCUGAGGAGCCUGAGGCUCAUAAAGCCCCUGGCUUGCCCAACAUCCCACAGCCAGCUGGAUGCAGGACGUGUGUCCCCUCUGGAUGAAGACCUAGGAGGACAAAAGGGAAAAUGAGGGACACAAGGACACAGUAUCCCAUUUGUGGACUCUCGUUACACCCCUGUCAGAGGGUCAAAGGACACUGAGACUGCCACCAAAGGCCCCCCAGCUAAGCUCUGAGCUGGCACACAUUGCUCCGUGGAUAAGGUGGCAGUUUGCAAGGGAAAGAUCCUAUCAGCAUCGACUUCACUGCAGGGAAGCGGAGGAUGUUCAAAGCUGCCUGGACCCCUCCUUAUCCCAUCUCUUCAUUUCACCCAUGAGGGGCUGAGUCCCGGAGUGCCAGUGUCACACAGCUGGUUAGGACGUGGCCGCUCCUGUCCUCUAAAAAAGAUGGCUGAGGCAGGGUGCUGGGAUGGGCCCUGCUCCCUGCUCAACCAGUCAAUGGCUGCGGGACCUCAGGGCAGCCUCUCCCUCGCUCUCUGCCUCCAUUUCCCCAUCUGUAAAAUUGCGCAGCUUAGACUAGAUCUUGCUGCAGCCUGUAGCUUCAGCAUGCCACGAUUCCCUUUCAGUCUAAAAGGUUGUUGGCUCUGAACCCAAUUAGGAUAAAUCAAUUUCAGACAAUGCUCAUCCCCUCAGGCUCCGUUCUCCCCCCUCCUCCUCCCAUCUGCCUGUCAUUGUCAAAGUAACCACAUAUUGAAUUCUCAAGGAGAAGGCCAUCAGAUCAAGGAGGGGAAGUGGCAAAAACCAAUCUUAACAAAAUAUAUUUGAGCUCCAAAUAAAAUUUCAUCCUCUUCCCACUGGCAGAUUUUAUCGUUUUUUAUUUCAGUUCAGUGCAGCUGAGCAUAUGGACAGGAGCUCGCUGUUGCCGGAGAUGGAGAAUAACAGGCCCGGACACAGGGUGCCCCCAGGAUGAUGGAGCACCCUCCACAUGCUGUCAUGGCGGGCACAAGGGAGCCCCCUGUUCUGCUUUCUCCAAGCCCUCCAUGAUGCCUGAACAGCCCCCCGUGGAACACUGCUGCCCACCUGGGGCCUCAGCCCUGCUUCUCCCGGCCCUGGGGCACUGAGCUGUCGAAGACCAGCAAGAGGACACAGCUGCUCCUUCCUCCGGCCUCAGACCUCAAGCACAUCCGGCCACUCACUGCCACGCACGCCACCCCCUGCUGCAACCGCUGCCAGUGUCCAGCCAUCUAUGGCCCAGCUCCGGGCCGGGACAGCAUUGCAGGAGUGCCAACUUGCAUUGGACAAGGGAUCAGGAAACCCCCUUCUCUGCCCUGGAGGGCUCAUCAGCCGAGCUGAGAGGAAUCAUGGAAGGACAGGAGAAGGGCUGUGAAAGAGGGGAAAUCCAAGAAGCCUUCCUGGAGAUGUGGCCCCUGAGAUGGGCCCACCCACAGGGCAUUGACCAGGGUGACUGCAAAGGCAGAAGGCAUUUCAGAGUGAGAGUAGCCUGGCCAGCAUCAGGGAGCAGGCAAGCGCAGAGUGUCUUCAAGGAGCCUUGUAGUCCAUGUCUGCUUAAGAGCAGCCUUUUGCGCUCUGAGAGAGCCUCAGUGGAGCAGCCUGGCUGGGGCCGAGUGGCAGCUAGGGGUCCUGAAUGGCAAGAGAAGAACCUCCUGGCAACGAGGCUGUUGGAAACUCCAAGAUGGGCAGCAGUGUGAUCCGGACCGGCGCUCACAUGAAACCUCACUGUUCAACCCACAGGUGCAGAGAGUGUAAAUGAAUGUGACAGCCUAACGGUGUCAGCUGCUGUUUGUGCACACAGUGUGCCAGCCAUGUGCAAAACACUGUAUGGGCACGAUUUCAUUUUAUCCUCACAAAACCCUUAUGAGAUGGGGACGACAAUUAACCCUGCUUUCCUAAAGAAGAUGAGGUUCAGAGAGGUUAAGAAACUUACCCAAGGCCACUCAGCCAGCAAGUGGCAGGGACAGGGGUUUGAAUCCAGGCCCUUGACUACUCUUUCUUAACCUCUUCCUGUGGCAGAAAGAAGAUACCCAGCACAUGGGCUGUAAACUGUUCUCUAAUGCCGAAUCAUUUCCUCCAGAUGGCCUCCACCACACUGUGUUAGAGCACCGGGUAGGCCCAGCUGUCCCUGGCUGUGGUGGUCUUCCCAGCAGUGCUCCUCAGCAGGGCUGGGCCUCCAGGGAGGCACCAGUGUCAGCCUGUCUCAGUCCCCGUGGCCUGGCCCAGAGCCUAGCUCAUAGUAGGCAUUCAGCAAAUAACUGUGGGCUGAACAAAUGGUUGCACUGCUGUUUGUAAGUGACUGAAACACAGCCCACGGCGGCCAGCUUUCCUCUUUAAUCCCUGUUAAAAGGCAAAGUGAAGCUCUCCGAAUAUCUGCAUGAUCAUGAGCGAUCUUGAAGGUGAAACACGUUCCCCCAGAUUACCCACCGUGUCUGGUUUCAAAGGACUUAUAUUCUUGUAGACUUUGGCUUCAAGAUGGAACAUGUCAAAUUCUGACAGUCAGAACGAGAGCAGCUCCUGAGAUGUUCAAAAAAGGCAGCAGCCAGCCCGUGACAGCCCUCCCAGCCCCCCAGGGAAGAGGCGGGGUAGGAGAAGCGGAGUCUUCAUCUGGGUCGGCAGAAAUGAGUGGUGGCAUCAGCUGCUCGGGCUGCCCCAUGACCCACUCAUUCUUUCCCCUAACCCAGGAACUGAUGCCAUAAAUCUCAGGAUUACUGAUGGCUCCACUCCUCCAGGUAUGGGCUUCUUGCCCGGGGACUAAACAUCUUAUUCAAGAUGAUCUAACUACGUUUGUUGAGAAACAGACAGACAGAAACAGAAAAAGAAGAACAGAGGGCACACGCCACAAAUUGAAGGUUGUCCCUGGAGCAUGGGCUCAUGCGUGAUGUUGGUUUCAGAAAGCAAAAGAUCAGGUGUGGCCAGCGACUUGCAGCUGCCCCCCCUGAAUGGGGCCAUUCAGUCCAGCUGUGGUGGCGUGGGCGGGGACAGGAAGGUGGUUGAGAAACAGGGAUGAGAAAGUUUGCUGGGGCCCCGGCCUUCAGGGCCUGGGAGAGGCCUGGAGGGUGGAGGUGGACAGGAGGCAAGGGAGGUGUCCCCUUGCUAAUCUGGCAGGAAGUGGGCAUCUGUGACCUGGCUGCCACCUCCCCUCGGUGCCCACCUGUGCCCACCACCCACUGCGCUGGUGGCACCUGCCUGUCUCCCCCUAGCCUGCAGGCACCUCUGGGCAGGAACUGUGUCUGAAUCCUCUCUCUCUCCUAUGCCUGUCCCAGAACCUGCACAGAGGAGCUACUCAGAGAAGGCUGAUGAAUGGAAUAGUCAUUGGUUUGGGAGUGGAAGGAUCUGCCCUCAGAAGGCCCCUGGUACAAAGCCAGAAAACAGAUAUUUUGCCCCAGCCCGCAUCCCUGACUACUCCCCAUAGUGCUGGUGGAAGGUCAGGCUGGGGUUUGGUGCCCGAAUUCACACCCUUCCCACACGAGGUCCUGGUGACCGAAGGCGAUCCGGUGGAGUGAUGGGCAGGGGUGGAAGUUGUGGCUUUAGGAAUAAUAUCAUCAGACUGGAGAACGUGCCUGAAUUUGGAACAGACUGACCUGGGCAGAUGACAGCUCCCCUGUCCCUGGCUGUGUGGCCCAGCCAAGUCCAUUAAUGUCUGAGCCUCAGUUUCCUUUCCUGCGACUUGGGGCUAACAAUAAACCUGCGCUCCCUGCUCCCAGAAGGGCUGGGAGGAUCGACCCCUAGGUCCCGUGUGGAGGAGCUCCUGGAGAGGUGAAGGGCCACCCCGUCCUACUGCAUUGUAAUUUAUCCACGUGAUUUUAAUAAUAAUAAAUGAA